rnacentral:lncRNA from 1 species
AACUAAACAGCCAAUGGUAUGUUUUGAUUGACAUCAAGUGGAGACGGGGCGGAAAAAUACUGAUUCUGUGAAAAUACCCCCUUUCUCCAUUAGUGGCAUGCUCAUUCAGCUCUUAUCUUUAUAUUCCAGUAAGUUAUUUUGCUCUCACUGUUUUAACAACAACAACAAAAAAACAACAACAUAAAAAUCCUUGCAUACCUUGUUCAAUUGGAGAAUUUUAAUGUUUUUCAUUUAUCAUUGUAAAACCAAGGACAAUUUUAUAACUUUUUUGUACUUAGCUGUUACAUGCAGAGCAAUCUGUCUUUAAGUAGGGAUAAAUUACUCUAAAACAAAAAAGAAUCCUAGAUAGUUUUCCCUUCAAGUCAAGCGUCUUGUUGUUUAAAUAAACUUCUUGUUUAAAAAAAAAAAAAGUAAAAAAGAAAAGUUAUGCAACAAUUAAUGGCCCAGAGGCAAUCCUUGUUAACAUUUU